GUGCUUGCUUCAGCAGCACAUGUACUAAAACUGAGACAAUACAGAGAUUAGCAUGGUCCCCGUGCAAGGAUGACACGUAUAUUUGUGAAGCAUUCCAUAUUUUU
ensembl:snRNA U6 U6 spliceosomal RNA